AUUGAACGCUGGCGGCAGGCCUAACACAUGCAAGUCGAGCGGAUGAAGGGAGCUUGCUCCUGGAUUCAGCGGCGGACGGGUGAGUAAUGCCUAGGAAUCUGCCUGGUAGUGGGGGAUAACGUCCGGAAACGGGCGCUAAUACCGCAUACGUCCUGAGGGAGAAAGUGGGGGGUCUUCGGACCUCACGCUAUCAGAUGAGCCUAGGUCGGAUUAGCUAGUUGGUGGGGUAAAGGCCUACCAAGGCGACGAUCCGUGACUGGUCUGAGAGGAUGAUCAGUCACACUGGAACUGAGACACGGUCCAGACUCCUACGGGAGGCAGCAGUGGGGAAUAUUGGACAAUGGGCGAAAGCCUGAUCCAGCCAUGCCGCGUGUGUGAAGAAGGUCUUCGGAUUGUAAAGCACUUUAAGUUGGGAGGAAGGGCAGUAAGUUAAUACCUUGCUGUUUUGACGUUACCAACAGAAUAAGCACCGGCUAACUUCGUG
rnacentral:rRNA from 1 species